rnacentral:rRNA from 1 species
GACGAACGCUGGCGGCGUGCUUAACACAUGCCAGUCGAACGCUGAAGCUCAGCUUUUGUUGGGUGGAUGAGUGGCGAACGGGUGAGUAACACGUGAGUAACCUGCCUCCUUCUUUGGGAUAACGCCCGGAAACGGGUGCUAAUACUGGAUAUUCACUGGUCUUCGCAUGGGGGUUGGUGGAAAGGGUUUUUCUGGUGGGGGAUGGGCUCGCGGCCUAUCAGCUUGUUGGUGGGGUGAUGGCCUACCAAGGCUUUGACGGGUAGCCGGCCUGAGAGGGUGACCGGUCACAUUGGGACUGAGAUACGGCCCAGACUCCUACGGGAGGCAGCAGUGGGGAAUAUUGCACAAUGGGAGCAAGCCUGAUGCAGCGACGCCGCGUGAGGGAUGGAGGCCUUCGGGUUGUGAACCUCUUUCGCUCAUGGUCAAGCCGCAACAAUGGUUGUGGUGAGGGUAGUGGGUAAAGAAGCGCCGGCUAACUACGUG